rnacentral:rRNA from 1 species
GUCUGAUGGAGCAAUGCCAUGUGAACGAUGAAGGCCUAUUUGGUCGUAAAGUUCUUUUAGAGGGGAAGACUUUGACGGUACCCUCUGAAUAAGUGACAGCAAACUAUGUGCCAGCAGCUGCGGUAAUACAUAGGUCGCGAGCGUUAUUCGGUUUUAUUGGGCGUAAAGCAAGCGCAGGCGGAUGAACAAGUUCUGUGUUAAAAGCAGCUGCUCAACAGUUGUUUGCACCGAAUACUGUUCGUCUAGAAUGUGGUAGGAAGUUUUGGAAUUAAAUAUGGAGCGGUGGAAUGUGUAGAUAUAUUUAAGAACACCAGAGGCGAAGGCGAAAACUUAGGCCAUCAUUGACGCUUAGGCUUGAAAGUGUGGGUAGCAAAUGGGAUUAGAUACCCCAGUAGUCCACACCGUAAACGAUGGGUAUUGGAUGUCGGGCUUUGUGGCUCGGUGUUGUAGCUUACGUGUUAAAUACCCCGCCUGGGUAGUAUAUAUGCAAAUAUGAAACUCAAAGGAAUUGACGGGGACCUGAACAAGUGGUGGAACAUGUUGCUUAAUUCGAUAAUACACGAAAAACCUUACCAGGGUUUGACAUCCCUUGCGAAACCGUGGAAACACGGCGGAGGUUAUCAAGGUGACAGGUGGUGCAUGGUUGUCGUCAGCUCGUGUCAUGAGAUGUUUGGUUAAGUCCCGCAACGAGCGCAACCCUACCCCUUAGUUGUUUGUCUAAGGAGACUGCACAGUAAUGUAGAGGAAGGAUGGGAUCACGUCAAAUCAUCAUGCCCCUUAUGCCCUGGGCUGCAAACGUGUUACAAUGGUAGAUACAAUAUGUCUGCAAACCAGCGAUGGUAAGCUAAUCAUCAAAAUCUAUCUCAGUCCGGA